UACGUAGGGUGCGAGCGUUGUCCGGAAUUAUUGGGCGUAAAGAGCUUGUAGGCGGUUUGUCGCGUCUGCCGUGAAAAUCCGGGGCUCAACCCCGGACUUGCGGUGGGUACGGGCAGACUAGAGUGUGGUAGGGGAGACUGGAAUUCCUGGUGUAGCGGUGAAAUGCGCAGAUAUCAGGAGGAACACCAAUAGCGAAGGCAGCUCGCUGGGACGGUACUGACGCUGAGGCGCGAAAGCGUGGGGAGCGAACAGG
rnacentral:rRNA from 1 species